rnacentral:rRNA from 1 species
GGAUGCGAUCAUACAGCACUAAUGCCACGGAUCCAUCAGAACUCCGAAGUUAACGCAGUUGGCGCGAGGGUAGUACUAGGAUGGGGACCCCUUGGGAAGUCUCUGUUGCAUCCC